UGGCUUCCGUCGUAAGCCAUCAGUUUCCCACCCUCUUCUCUUCAUAUCUCGAUAGAGCUCUUCUUCGCGUCUCCUCGCUUCUUCUGCCGCCUGAAAAAUACUCGCUCGGAGAGCUGGAGAAAGAGGGAGAGACGUCGGAAGGGAAGAAGAAGAAGCCAUGUUUUAUUCGCAGUCCCUUCUAUCAAGGAAGGGGCCUUUGGGCAACAUAUGGAUUGCUGCGUUUUGCUUCAAGAAGCUGAAGAAAGACCAGAUUGCCGACACCGAUAUCUCCUCUUCUGUUGAUAAGAUCAUGCCUGAGGUUCAUAUUUCAUAUAGAAUAUUGGCUCAGCUACUUCUGGGUAUUGUCAGGAUAUUUUCAAAGAAAGUUGACUAUCUUUACCAUGACUGCAAUGAGGCUUUGACUAAUAUAAGAAAAUCAUUUAUGCCUAGUCAACGGAUUGUACAAAAUGAAGCAAUUGCCAAACCACGGCAUAAUGUUAUGCAAACAAAAAAAGUGAUACAUGUACCAGAUCAGAGAGUUAAUAUUGCAAAAGAAGCAACGUCCACAGCACCAAUUGAAGCCAUGCGUGCAUCAUAUAAUCAUGUUACUAUCACUGUACCAGAAAGAUUUGAACUUGAUUCCUUUGAUCUGGAUAUCUCAGAUGAAUGUGAAACUGCCAAAUCCCAUGAACAGACCAUUGCUCAAGAUGACUGGACAGAUGAAAGGGAUCAGACCUUUUUUCUAAAUGAGCAAUAUCACAGGGAAACAGUAAUUCAUGCUGAGUUCGAUUCUGCUUGUUUUACUCCAGUGGAUGAUGUUCUUCCAUCUCACAUGAUGGAUAUUGAUUUCACAAUUAGUCAAAUUUACAACUUGAACAGCAUGGGAGUUAGAGGGGGAAAAACUCGGGGACAUUCUCAGCAUAUAGAAGAAAGUGGGAGUUUUGCAGGUUUAGCUGCCAUGGAGUCACUAGGCCCUAAUGUACACAAUGUGGAAUCAGAUCAUCAAGUACAUCCUUUAAAGCUGCAAGAGAUGACACCAUCAGAUCCUGACAAAAACAUACAUGCUAAGGAAUUACAGAAACCAGUAGAGCCAAUUAUGUUGCAUCAGAUAUUAUCAUCAAAUCAUGAAAAAACUCAAAUCCUUGUUGGGGGAGAUUCAAAAGCUACAAGUCCAUCCAAAACUCAUGAUAGAACAUACUUACCAUGUGAUUUAGGGCUUGCUUCACCUAAAUUUACAGUCAGAACUCCAGCUAAGAGGGAACGUCCUCCGAUGCUGAGAAAAAGAAAAAAACUCUUUGAUGAAACAAUUGUGUUGUCCAAUGAGGCCUUGAGGCAGGGAAUACAUGAUGCUAGUAGUUUAAUAUUUAAGCGGAGGAAAGCACCUCACACGUAUCUGGAUGCCUGGAAAGCUGACAUAAUUGCCAAUUUGCAGCAAACUUUUAUGGAUCCUCUGGUGCCCUGUACUUCUUCAGAGCUCAAAGCUCUCUUCCAGAACAAAUCAUCCGAUUAUUUGUCCUCACAAAAGACACUUGCAGAGUAUCACACUGAAGCAGGAAAUGCACAGAAUGGAAUACCCAACAAAUCUGCUGACAAUGAAGAAACAUGCCAGGAAAGAAUAAUUGAAACUCCAGCAACAGAAGUGUUUGCUGAUGAACCCAGAACUAGUAAAUCAUCUGAAAUGGAAACCAACAAGCCAUCUUCUUUGGAAACAUCAGACACUGAACUGGAUUUGAUGGAUAAGGAGCUUGGCUCUCAUGAAGAAAGCAGUAUAGGUCAAGGUAUUGCUAUAUGGGUAGUAAAAGCAAUUCGGUUUAGCCUUUUGGUUUGCCACAUAUCCUUUUGCUUCUAUUUAGCAAAAGGGAAUACUAGCUUGAAUUUGCUCUACUUCAUUCUCACGCUUUGCUUCUAUUUAGCAAAAGGGAAUAGUAGCUUGAAUUUGCUCUACAUCAUUCUCACGCUUUCUAUGUUUGUCGCAGAUAACAGAUGGUCAGUCCGCACUAGGGCAGCGGCACAGUAUCUUUGUAGUAAGUUGCUAGAUAUUAAAAAUCGAGAACAAAAAGGAUUCUUAAGUUUGGCUCGAAUCCUAGAAGGGAAGACUAGAAGAAAAUGUGCUAGAUUUUUUUAUGAAACUCUGAAAUCUUCAUCAUCUUUUGUCAAAUUCUGAAUCUUUGCUUGUAGCUGAGUUGCUCCCAAAUGGAAAACUUGUACUUCGUCCCAAAACCAUGUCCAAAAAAAAUUGGCCGUUCUAGAACUGUUUGUCUAGGUCUAUAAAUUCAGAAAAUCUGGGAUAGCAAAAAUCAGGGAUGGUUCAGUUCCGGGUUGAGCAAUAGCCUAAAGUUACAGGUUUCUAUGAGACCUGGAUCCAGAUUCAGAUAUUAUAUAUUAAAAAACUUGAUUUGAAUUGAUUAAAAACCAGUUUGACCAUAUUUCAACCUGAUUGCUCUAUAGAAUACAAAGUAAUGACACCCUUAUAAUUCAGUCAACCUGGAUGCCAUCCAGUUUGACCCUAUGUAGCCCUAAUAUAUGCAGUACAGCAAAACAAUGUUUCAUCUGAUUACUUCAUAACAUUCCACAAUUAGUGAAUAUUUUAUUAAUAUCUAAACUUUUAGCACUACAAAUCAUCAGAGUAAAACUCGAAACUUGCAAUAUUUCAUUUAAGCAGUUGAUAACAUGUGACCUGAAUACUUGAUACUGAACAUGUAGCAUUAAAGUUUGUUAAACUAAGGCUUCAAAACAUGCAGCAUUUCACUGAAUACUUGAUAGUUUGAUAAUAAAGGAUCUGAAAAAAUUGUUACCAUAGUAUGUUCACUUAAACCAUUCAACAAAUCAUUUUCCAAAUUCCAUCAAUAAUCACACUCAGGUUUCAUCUUGCUAUUCCCAUCAAAAUAUCACUCAAAUUUUAUUUAUAUUAAUCACAUCCAUAUCACAUACAUGUUAUAGGAACACAAAACAAAGUUUAGAUAUUGAAUGUUGCAAACCCCCAAGGACUAAAGAAAUCUAAGUGCAAAAGCCAAGGAUGCCUCUGGGCCGGAAAAAAGGGGGACAUUCUUCUGAUUUCCAACCAAAAAUCCCUCCAAUCAUCAAAGUCAAAACACACGGAAAGCACACCUAUCAUGUGCUAGAACAAAAGAUAAAAGAACAAAUGUUUUUGCCCCAAAUUAUAAAUAUAUGCUAAUAAAUAAAAACUAACUAGUAUGACAACCAGAGUCCAGAGUAUUUUCCGUCAUAGUACCUCUUGUUCAUUCAAUUUCCAUUUCAAUCAAUCUCUACUUCCUUGGAGGCAUGAGAAGAAUUCCAGCAGAAAUAUCCAAAUAGAAGAACUUCUUAAGACCGUCAUCUUUGUCCUCCAUUUAUUUAUUUUUUUGGUUGUAAAUGUGGUCAUUCUAACAUAUCAACUAUAGAAUUUUAUGCAACUUUAAUAGAACCAAAGUUGAUUAAGUUUAAAUCCAAAUAACUGAUUACAAGUGUGUAUCAAAGCCUCAACAAAAUCCAUUGUAAGACAACUGUAAUAUGCUUAAACCCCCUACCCCCACAACUAAAAGCUGGGACAAGCUGCCGCAGCUAAAAGCUCUAGAAAUAUGAAUAAUCAAAAUGUCAGAAUAAUAAGUUAUGGGUGCAUAUCUCAGUCAUAAGAUAGCUGCAAGAUUCUUGAGUGCCCCAUGUCCAAAAAUAAAGGCUACAAUGAAAAUAGGAACAGUCAGAAUGCCACAGAACGUCCUAGAAACUUGAAGAUAUUGAGGGUGGAUAGAUUUAUAUGACACCAAAACAUCAUGUCUUUAUUUUUUUAAUCUAAUGUUGGUUCUUGCUGAUGAAAGUCCAACUCAGGCUUUUGUUCUUGGAUAUAGGAGGGAUGGCUUCUAAAUGUAUUAUAAAGCUGCACCAAAUAAGAAAUGCAACAAUUAAUUUACAAAAAGUAGCCAAAAUAUUUAGUCAUAAACUUAUAUUAUAGUUGCAAAUUUAAAUACAAAUAUUAUAACAAACUACCAACUAACUGUAGCAUAUGGAUCAUUUAUAUUGUCAUUCACGUCCUCAUUUGUCAACCUUCUGAGCUGGCUUAUUAGUGAAUACCUGAGAAUUGAAGCAUAUAACCUUUGAAACGGGUUAGAAAACUUCCCAUAAACAUUCAUAGCCUUCAGAAAACCUUCAUUCCCAUAAAUCCUCAUGUAAGUGAAUUCCACAACUUCCUCUUAGGAUUGUCGGUCCCUCAUCACACACCAAUACUUCUUAAAUUUAAAUUUAUGAUCCUCAUGUCAUUAAGUUUGCCUUUUAACCAAAAAAGAUUGAAUUUUCUGAACUCUAUGACAAAAUGAAUUUGCAGGAAGAAAAUUUUGUUAACUAAAAAAUGUCAAAUCAUAUAAAAUCUUUAAGAACUUAUUGGAGGAUGGAGGGUUUCAUAUUGAUGAUCCAAGUUGUUAGAUGUAUGAUCUACUACCACUAAAUUGGUUGCACACCAAUAACCAUGUGAUUUGGAGGCCCUCAACCCUUGCAUCAAGUAGUCAAAAAAUUGAACAAUUUAAAUCACACAAAACAAUGCAUAUUUUUUGAGCAUUUGAUGCAUGAAUUAGGAGUCUCUGAGUCAUAUGAUUUUUGGUGUGUAAGUAGUUUAAAGGGGUGCAUUUCUCAGAGUGUCGAGUGGCCAUUGUUGUAGAUAGGGAUAUAGAUGAACCGAGCAGCUCGCAAGCUGCUCGAGCUCGACUCGAUUGUUAUUAAGCUUGAGUAGCUCGAAUAGUUUUUCAAGUCGCGCUCAAGUAGCAAAAGCUCGCGAGCAUAGUCAAAUAUAUAUUUAAUAAAUUAUAUUUUAUUUAUAAUAUUUUCUAUUAAUUUAAUAUUUUAAAAUAUAAUAUUAUGUUAUAUUUUGUUUUAACCAUUUUUUUUAAUUAUGGCCAAGUUUUGAACUCGAAUUCAAGUAUAGCUCGGUUGAUAUUCAAGUCAAGUCGAGUAGAUCUUGAGUAUUGUUUUUUUUUUUUUUGAUCAGGUUGAGCAUGAGCUUGGAUAUUAAGGCUUGAUCGAUCUCGAGUCAAGUUUCUAGCCUAAGUAUUUUGAAUCACAUUGAGCUCGAGUCCCUAGCUACUCGACUCAACUUGCACCCCUAGCUGUAGAACCUCUCACUUUCAAGUAUUAAAAGAUAACUUAGAAGGGAGAGAGAUAAAUGGACACCAAGCAGACUACACAAAUAUAAUGUUUUAUUUGUAUUCUCUCUCUUUAACUACAAGAGUGCACACCUGUGUAUAUUUAUAUUGAUUAACAUGGAAGAGGUUAUAAUGACUGGACUGAACCGGACUCUUUUCCCAGCCCAAUUGUAACUCUUAGAGCACUUAUCCAGAAGUCAAUCAAUCCAUUUUUCAUCACAUAAUCUUUGACCUCAACUAGCUUCGCGAGAAGACUUAAUCUCACUGAGAUAUCCUGACUUCUAAGACUUUUUGAGAGUUCGUGUGCAAUUCUCUCUUCAAAUUCUAGACUAAUGCCUUGUGCCAUUAUAGCUCAUCUUAAUCCACCCACUGGGGCAUAUUUCAUCUAAUCAUAACAACUCAAAAAGCUUUCUAAAUUUGGAGAUGCUCACAACAACUGGUCAAGUUAGGUGGGUUUUAAACCUGGAUCCAACAUGAAGCUUUCUAAGUUAGGUGACUUUUUAGUCCAUUCGACCCUUGUGUAUAUAUCAAGACGAAUUUUGUCAAGGGAGAAUAACACAAGCACUUACAAGGAGAGCAAUUCUCCAAUGUGAUUUUAAUGAGACACGAGUGCAAGGUGAUAAAAGAAUAGCCGUGACACAUGUAGUAGUCAUACAAACUUGUUAAGAAUUGGUGACACUCAACCGGUGCUUAGUUUGCCAAAUGCCUAUCUUCCGAUGGAUUGAGUUGGGUAAAUGGAUUUGGUCAAGAAUAUUGUCUUAUAUACUUAUUGAGACAUUCCCCUGUGACCUAGGUUUAAACUAACCUCUUGAGCAAUAAGCUGAUGGUCACCUGCGACAACUCUAGCAAUAGGCUUCCUGGCAAGUCUUAAACAGCACGGAUGGAUGGAGAGGAAGGCACAGAUCAAUUGGAUGUGGCAAGAUCACAACAUAGAUGAUGGCACCAGAUGCAAUGUGGUUCUUUAUCUGCUGAGUUCCCAGAUUCUAAAGGGCCGUGGGCUCAUAGAUGUUAAGCAGGACUGUGCUUAUGGUGACAUUAUCAUAUCAGCGGGUCCUCAACUUGAAGCAGAGUUUAACAAUCCAUAGCGCAGGAACAGGACGACAGAUGUCUGUUUUGGCUUCUUUGUAAAUUUGUUAGCCUCCCAAUGUAGAAACAGAUCUGUAUAUAUUAUGAUUUUGCUUAAAAAUCAAACAGUUUCCAACAGGAAAAUUUCCUUUGUUUCAGAAAGAUUCAGUUCAUAUGUUCAGAAUCUCUCUUUCAUACAGGCGAUAAAACAUCUUGGACUCCACUUCA